CCCGAUUGCCCCAGUAACGGCGAGUGAAGCGGCAACAGCUCAAAUUUGAAAUCUGGUCCCUAGGGCCCGAGUUGUAAUUUGUAGAGGAUGCUUUUGGUGAGGUGCCGCCCGAGUUCCCUGGAACGGGACGCCACAGAGGGUGAGAGCCCCGUCUGGCUGGCCGCCGAGCCUCUGUAAAGCUCCUUCGACGAGUCGAGUAGUUUGGGAAUGCUGCUCAAAAUGGGAGGUAUAUGUCUUCUAAAGCUAAAUAUUGGCCAGAGACCGAUAGCGCACAAGUAGAGUGAUCGAAAGAUGAAAAGCACCUUGAAAAGAGGGUUAAAUAGUACGUGAAAUUGUUGAAAGGGAAGCGCUUGUGACCAGACUUGGGCGCGGCGGAUCAUCCGGGGUUCUCUCCGGUGCACUUCGCCGCGUCUAGGCCAGGAUCUGUUCGUCGCGGGGGAAAAAGGCUUCGGGAACGUGGCUCCUCCGGGAGUGUUAUAGCCCGUUGCAUAAUACCCUGCGGUGGACUGAGGACCGCGCAUCUGCAAGGAUGCUGGCGUAAUGGUCACCAGCGACCCGUCUUGAAACACGGACCAAGGAGUCGUCUUCGUAUGCGAGUGUUCGGGUGUCAAACCCCUACGCGUAAUGAAAGUGAACGCAGGUGAGAGCUUCGGCGCAUCAUCGACCGAUCCUGAUGUUCUCGGAUGGAUUUGAGUAAGAGCAUACGGGGCCGGACCCGAAAGAAGGUGAACUAUGCCUGUAUAGGGUGAAGCCAGAGGAAACUCUGGUGGAGGCUCGCAGCGGUUCUGACGUGCAAAUCGAUCGUCAAAUAUGGGCAUGGGGGCGAAAGACUAAU
rnacentral:rRNA from 1 species